rnacentral:misc_RNA from 1 species
AACCUAGCACACCUGCGGUGUGUACCUGCGGAAGGAUCAUUAUUGAAUAAACUUGAUGGAUUGUUGCUGGCUCUAUUUCAAUAGGGUAUGUGCACAUCUGUCAUUUUUAUGUUUCCACCAUGUGCACCCAUGCAUAGACCUGGAUUGAUCAGAGUAAUAUUUGAUCGUUUGGAAAUUGCUGUUAGUUUUUUUCAGCUUUUUCUGUAUUUCAGGUUCCUAUGACCUUUUAUGAUAAACUCC